GACAGAGGGUGCAAACGUUGCUCGGAAUUACUGGGCGUAAAGCGUGCGUAGGUGGUGCGUUAAGUCUGUCGUGAAAGCCCCGGGCUCAACCUGGGAAUGGCGAUGGAUACUGGCGCGCUAGAGUGCGGUAGAGGAGAGUGGAAUUCCCGGUGUAGCAGUGAAAUGCGUAGAGAUCGGGAGGAACAUCAGUUGCGAAGGCGGCUCUCUGGACCAGCACUGACACUGAGGCACGAAAGCGUGGGGGAGCAAACAGG
rnacentral:rRNA from 1 species